AAACCUAGCGGAUAGAAUCGUAAGAAAUUACGAUCAAGAGAUACAGGUAAAAGGAAAAUGGACUAGCAGUGGAGGCUGGGGGUCAAUGCGAAGGUGGUGUGUGUGGCAGGAACUGGAAUAAAAGGUCUUAGGGGACAUAGCGAAUUGAGCAUUUGACUCAUUAGCAUUUACUUUAGCAUUUUACCCAUUGGUUGUGACUUUCAUGUUCUAUGCACUUGUAGUUGUGGGUUGCCAUGAAUUCCUAAACUAUGCCCCAUGUUAAGUUAGAUUACUAGUUUAGGUUGUUAGAAUGUUAGUCACAUGUUAGUAGGAUGUGUAUUAUGCUUAAAUGUUUGCAGUGUAUGGGUUUGGCACGAAACAGUGCUGGGGAUCA